ensembl:snRNA U2 U2 spliceosomal RNA
AUCGCUUCUCGGCCUUUUGGCUAAGAUCAAGUGUAGUUUCUGUUUAAUUAAAGUAUCUUUUAUUUUUGAAGAGUGUUUUCACUGGACCUAAGUUGACAAUUUGUGUUAGCACUUUAAAGAUAUCAU